rnacentral:lncRNA from 1 species
GGGAGUGAAGAUGGUAAGGAAGAGAAGCCUCUGCCUGUGCCCCCCGUGUACAGAAGCAGAACCAUAGCACUUUCAGGACCUUUGGAUGGCAGUAGAAUCAUGCAAGACAAAAUGCUCCACAACAAGGCCUUGAAGCUAUCUGGACCACUUGAUGGAAGAAUGCAUGAGAGAAUGAUCAUCAACUCUAAUAGAAGCCCUUUAAUACCUAGGCCUUUGGAUGCAAGAUUUGUAGCCACAACAAAGAGUCCAAGAGUCUCAGGGCCUCUGGAUCCAAGACUCAUGGCUGCUGAGAUCAAAAGCCCAAGACUGCCAAGGCCUUCCGAUUUCACAAGGGCUGAC